UACGUAGGCAGCGAGCGUUGUUCGGAAUUACUGGGCGUAAAGAGUGUGUAGGCGGUGCUCUAAGUUCGGUGUGAAAUCUCCCGGCUUAACUGGGAGGGUGCGCCGGAAACUGGAGUGCUUGAGCGUGGGAGAGGAAAGCGGAAUUCCUGGUGUAGCGGUGAAAUGCGUAGAUAUCAGGAGGAACACCUGCGGUGUAGACGGCUUUCUGGACCAUUGCUGACGCUGAGACACGAAAGCGUGGGUAGCAAACAGG
rnacentral:rRNA from 1 species